CCCUACGGGGCGCAGCAGUGAGGAAUAUUGGUCAAUGGGCGCGAGCCUGAACCAGCCAAGUAGCGUGAAGGAUGACGGCCCUAUGGGUUGUAAACUUCUUUUAUAUGGGAAUAAAGUUUGGUAUGCAUACCAUUUUGUAUGUACCAUAUGAAUAAGGAUCGGCUAACUCCGUGCCAGCAGCCGCGGUAUUCCGAGGAUCCCAGCGUUAUUCCGGUUUUUUUGGUUUUAAAGG
rnacentral:rRNA from 1 species